rnacentral:miRNA from 2 species
AAUAUUAUACAGUCAACCUC